rnacentral:rRNA from 1 species
GUGCCAGCAGCCGCGGUAAUACGGAGGGUGCAAGCGUUGUUCGGAAUCACUGGGCGUAAAGGGCGUGUAGGCGGUCCGCUAAGUCUGAUGUGAAAGCCCGGGGCUCACCCCCGGAAGGGCAUUGGAAACUGGCGGACUCGAGUCCCGGAGAGGAAGGUGGAAUUCCUGGUGUAGCGGUGAAAUGCGUAGAUAUCAGGAGGAAUACCGGUGGCGAAGGCGGCCUUCUGGACGGUGACUGACGCUGAGACGCGAAAGCGUGGGGAGCAAACAGGAUUAGAAACCCUCGUAGUCC